ACUGGCCAGCGAAAUCUCUGGGCUGCCGGUGGUGACCUCGGAGUUUCGUGCCUCGGGUGUCUGGGGGCUGGAGAGAUGGCUCAGAGGUUAAGAGCAUGGACUGCUCUUCCAGAGGUCCUGAGUUCAAUUCCCAGCAACCACGUGGUGGCUCACAACCAUCUGUAAAGAGAUCUGAUACCCUCUUCUGGUAUGUCUGAAGACAGCUACAGUGUACUUGUAUAUGAUAAAUAAAUAAAUCUUUUAAAAAAAAUAAAA
rnacentral:lncRNA from 1 species